rnacentral:rRNA from 1 species
GAAUGAACCGGCGAGUUACGAUUUGAUGCAAGGUUAAGCAGUAAAUGUGGAGCCGUAGCGAAAGCGAGUCUGAAUAGGGCGUUUAGUAUUUGGUCGUAGACCCGAAACCAGGUGAUCUACCCUUGGUCAGGUUGAAGUUCAGGUAACACUGAAUGGAGGACCGAACCGACUUACGUUGAAAAGUGAGCGGAUGAACUGAGGGUAGCGGAGAAAUUCCAAUCGAACCUGGAGAUAGCUGGUUCUCUCCGAAAUAGCUUUAGGGCUAGCCUCAAGUGAUGAUUAUUGGAGGUAGAGCACUGUUUGGACGAGGGGCCCCUCUCGGGUUACCGAAUUCAGACAAACUCCGAAUGCCAAUUAAUUUAACUUGGGAGUCAGAACAUGGGUGAUAAGGUCCGUGUUCGAAAGGGAAACAGCCCAGACCACCAGCUAAGGUCCCAAAAUAUAUGUUAAGUGGAAAAGGAUGUGGCGUUGCCCAGACAACUAGGAUGUUGGCUUAGAAGCAGCCAUCAUUUAAAGAGUGCGUAAUAGCUCACUAGUCGAGUGACACUGCGCCGAAAAUGUACCGGGGCUAAACAUAUUACCGAAGCUGUGGAUUGUCCUUUGGACAAUGGUAGGAGAGCGUUCUAAGG